rnacentral:rRNA from 1 species
GAUGAACGCUGGCGGCGUGCCUAACAAAGCCAAGUCGACCAAACGACGAGAAGCUUGCUUCCUUGAUUUUAGCGGCGGGCGGGGUAGUUACCCCUUGAUUACCCUCCCUUUAGAACAGGGUUACUUCGGGAAAACGGGGCCUAUACCGGGAAAAUUUUUUAACCGGCAUGUUCCAAAGGUGAAAGCGGGUCUUCCGGUAACUAAUGGAUGAACCCGGCUGCAUUAACUAGGUGGUAAGGUAACCGGUUACCAAGGCAACCAUGCAUAGCCGACCUGAGAGGGUGAUCGGCCACACGGGAACUGAGACACGGUCCAGACUCCUACGGGAGGCAGCAGUAGGGAAUCUUCCGCAAUGGGCGAAAGCCUGACGGAGCAACGCCGCGUGAGUGAUGAAGGUCUUCGGAUCGUAAAACUCUGUUAUUAGGGAAGAACAUAUGUGUAAGUAACUGUGCACAUCUUGACGGUACCUAAUCAGAAAGCCACGGCUAACUACGUG